rnacentral:lncRNA from 1 species
AUGAAGGACACUGAUAUCAAGAGACUAUUGUAUAAUCAUCUUUUAUGCAUGUUUUCAAUUAGCCUGAUCAUCUUCAUUCCAUCAUUCUUUUUGGAGAACUUCUCAAUAUUGGAAGCACACUUAAUACGGUUGUGCAUCUGUUGUGUUUUUCUAACUGCUGUCAAUCAAGUAUUAUAUUUAGUAGUGAAGCCAAAUGCAUCCUCUAAAAGAAGUUUAUUAUCACACAAGGUGACCGGAUUUUUGGAAUGCUGUAUUAAUUUCUUAUGCCUUGUUUCUUGCAUGUAAUUCAUGUAAUUUUUGUUCUAUAUGGAGAGCCACCAUUAGAGUUGAAGAUGGAAACAUUUUUAUUUGUGGUUAUUUUGUCUGCUUUUACUACUCUACCAAGUUUAUUUUUGUUAGGACCAAAUCUCAAAGCAUGGAUAAGAGUUUUCACUGGAAAGGGAGUUAUAUUCACUUGGGAGAAUAGUAUCCAGAUCAGUACAAUUUCUAGUUUUGUGGGAACAUGUCUUGGAGUACUUUCUAUACCACUGGAUUGAAAAAGACCAUGGCAGAUAAGGAAACUAACACCUAGAGGAUAUGUAACAUUCUCGAUGUCAGUGAGCUCGUACAUAUGGCCCAUCUCCUCCUAUAUGCUUGGAGCAAACUUUGGCAACAUGGCUGGCCUUGUUAUUUCACCACUCUGGAUACACUGGAAUAAAAAGCAACUUACAUAUAACAAUUAA